AUCACGUUUAAUAAAAAGGAGGAAGAAUUCGAAAUUUAUCUCCCUAAUCCCACGUUGAAACCGUUCCCCUCUCUCCCACAAAUCUCUCCUGUAUCUCAACCCCCUUUCCCCUAUAUUAAAUCCUUAACCAGUUACUUCUUUUUCCUCACCUAUCGUCUCUGUAAGCAAGAAAGCAAGAACCAUUCUUCAACUUCUACUCAAGAAAUCGAAAUCCUUUCAGCUUUAAGAACCUGCCUUUUUAGCUUUGUGAACUUCACAACCCAAAUUCAAUUCACAGAGGUGAGACUUCGCAAGUGAAUCGAGAUACCAAAGGGAAGGAAGUGUAGAAAAUUAAGCAAUUGAGGUUGAGCGGCGACGAGGAUGUGGUGGUGUUGAGCAAGUGAAUUUAAGAUAUUAUGGUUGUUUUUGAACCUUGGGUGUCGUUGUGUCUUCACACAUGACGUCACUCUUUCUCUUGGUCGUUUACGCUGUGACAUUGCUUUCACUUAUCCUUUAUUAGGCUUGCAAACUUUAUUUGUCUGGAUAUUGAAUAUUUGAGAUUUUGUUGGAUAAUGUCAAACUCUUGGUCAUUUUCUUUGAA